rnacentral:RNase_P_RNA from 1 species
GGAGCCGGCCGGGCAGUCGCUGCUCUUGCCCGUGCAAACUGGCAAGGGUGGAGGAAAGUCCGGGCUCCGGCGGAUCGGGUGCCAGGUAACGCCUGGGGGGCGCGAGCCCACGGAAAGUGCAACAGAGAGCAGACCGCCCAAGUCCUCAGGUCGUGCAAGCGGCAGGGGACCGGCAAGGGUGAAACGGUGCGGUAAGAGCGCACCGCGGCCCUGGUAACAGGGCCGGCACGGCAAACCCCACCUGGAGCAAGGCCAAAUAGGGAAGCAGCCCAUUGCCGUCAGGCUUCGGGCAGCGCCGAUCCGCGCGCGCUUCCGGGUAGGCCGCUUGAGGUUCACGGCGACGUGGAUCCCAGAGGAAUGAUUGCCCUCGACAGAACCCGGCUUACAGGCCGGCUCCUUUG